CAAUAAAGAAAUCAAUCGUUCGUCAUUUAUUUUAAUGCAAAAUGUAUAAAAAUUGUCACUAAAACUUGAUCACACACUUCUAAUAACAAAUUUUUAUUGGGCAUUUGACAGUAUUUUUAAUACUUCCUUCUGAUUGGUUCCGGGAAUACAACGGGAACGAGAAAGUUAAAACAUGGUCAACUUUCCCGUUCCCGUUACCGGACAGCUUCUCGUUCUCGGUUAUUGUGCAUCUACAACAUUAAUUUACAUAGAGGUUAACUUUUUUCCCGUUCCCGUUUCCGUUCUCGUUCCCGGGCAAUUGUGCAGCCGCCUUAACUGAUUAUGAAACCGGGCGUAAGAACACAAAAUAACAUUUGCUUCUCUCCCAGCCGCCAUAUUGAGUUGUUGUUGUCAUGUCACUUGUCACUAUCAAAGUGUCAGGUCAGUGUCAUUUGUCAUUUGAUUGUGUCAUUUUACCCAUGCCCCGCGCAUUCUAAUAAAAAACAUGUAAUCGUAUUUAUUUUCCUUCCAUUUUGUCAGAGGCGCUGAUGUCGGCAUUGUGAUUGGUGGAACAUGACUUUUGACAAAUCCUGCGCUAUCUGUGAAUCUGUGUUCAGUGUUCGUGUUCGUUCGUUCGUUGUCGUUCAGUUAUUUUAUAAGGUCGGUUAUGUGAUGUGUUUGUGUCACCAUAAAAAGCUGAUAUUCAGUCGUGUUUUUUGAUAUUUUGUAAUCGAGUACCUUUUUAAAGGUCUAAUGGCUCCGUUCAGCUGUUGUGUGCAGACGGUGGAAAAGUUCAACAAGUAAACAUUUAUUUAAUCCAAAUUAAAUACUCAUAUUUCUAUGUAAAAUGUCACAUUAUUUUAUAAAUAAAUAAGUAAGAAACAAAA